rnacentral:rRNA from 1 species
UAGCGUAGGGGGCAAGCGUUGUCCGGAUUUAUUGGGCGUAAAGAGCGUGUAGGCGGCCAUACAGGUCCGUUGUGAAAACUGGAGGCUUAACCUCCAGACGUCGAUGGAAACCGUAUGGCUAGAGUCCGGAAGAGGAGAGUGGAAUUCCUGGUGUAGCGGUGAAAUGCGCAGAUAUCAGGAAGAACACCCGUGGCGAAGGCGGCUCUCUGGGACGGUACUGACGCUGAGACGCGAAAGCGUGGGGAGCGAACAGG